GUAUGGCUUUUUGUUCUUUUAUCUACAAUUGAGAAAGGAUGCAUAUUUAGCUAGUUGUGAUGGUGAAUAACAAUCAAAUGUUUGUGUUACUUGUGACAGACAAGAUGAUGAUAUAAGGCACUGGACCCUUCUUUUUCUGCUCUAUUGGUAAGCUAAGGAGUCUUAAUUAAUGUUGUCUCCUAGCUAAUUCCACAUUUUACAGAGCCAAGUGGAAGUUGAUGGUGGCAAAUCAUUAGAUCUCAGCAACUAUCCAUACAUAUAUAUGAGAUGGAAGGAGCAAUACUUUGUGAAUGUUGGCAGAGACUGUGGUUUGACUAUAGCCGGCUUUUACUAUGUGUGUUUCUCAUGUAGUGAUGGCUCCAUCAAUGGCUUCUAAUGAUCCUAAUAGCAGCCCGUUCCAGAAGCUUGAGCUGAAACAUACAAAUGAGGGAAGAUUAGGAUUCAGUUUUUCGUCCUACAAACCAAUCUGUAGAUUCGUUUGUGUUAGUAAUGGUACUUCACGGGCUGUGUGGUGAUUACCAUAUACUAGUGACUUCGAGGUGAUAUGAAAUCAUGCAUUUGAUCGUGAAUUUUUGAUUAAGUGAGAAAUAGUGAACUAAAGGGAAGUUUUGUUCUUUCUCUAUGAUUCUUGGCGUUAUCUUCAGUAUGUUUAGCAUUUAAUUUUCUCCAGUACUUACAAGGUACAGGCGUACAGCCUAGUAAGCGCUAAUUGGGGAUAUCAAGCCCAGAAUACAAGAAGUAAAGAGAAUUGGGCUUAGCCCAUGCUGCCACUACGCGUGUAAAACUACUACAGUAAGGAAUACCAUCGUCUUAUUGGCCCUACCAGGCAGUGGUUCAAGGUUCAAGGAUGAACAACUCAAUCAGUAAUUUCUUCUUUUUCUCUAGCAAGAUAGUUGGACCUUGUGGUUUACCUGAUUCAAGGCUAUGAAUAUAUGCCUUAGAAAUAGAAACACAUCGAUUGGAAGGGCUGCUGAACAAGAAGAUGGUUCAACACCAUACCUCCUGCAGCAUCAUCUGCAAAUAGUGAAUUGCAACCUAUUGCUUUAAACUCAUUUCCUUAUCAAACAUUUUAUUUAUUGCCAUUCUUUUAUGAAUAUUUCCAAAAACAUGAUACCAAAACUAUAUACUUAGAAAAUAAAAGCCCGAAAGUGUAAAGUGUUCCGGUAUAAUUAACAUGCAACAAGAAGUGAAAGUUUUGCAUUUUCGAGUUUGAAAUUGACAUCGGCAACAUAUUAAAAGGGGGUUAUAAUUUACAAGUUGCAUCGUUCGAUGGAAAUUUUGUUAAAAUGGCAGUUUUUGUUAGGAAAUUCAGUUAAGAUCUUGAGCCAAGCCGACAUUCAGGCUCCGUCUCAUGCCCAUACAACCAAUUUCUUAAGGUUGGUCUGGCCUAUUGCUCUUUCCUUGUGCCUAUUUCGCUUUACGGGGGUUCAUUUACGGGUACAACAAUAGUCUCGUGGAAGAAUUUCUUCCAUUAAAGUGUGGGUGGUUAGAAUGUGGUUUUACUCCGAUUUUCAGUUUGCUAAUAUAUGAGAUAUAAGUACUGUAUGAUCUUUCUUUGUAUGCGGUAGGUUCAGCAGGUCAAAGACAUAAACAAGCUGGGUUUUAUGGGUCGGGUUCAAGAAGAGCUUGUGUUGAUAGAAGACUGGUACAUUUUCAGGUGAGACCGGUGGGGAUUGGUGGAGGGUUGUCACUUGAGACAAUAAAACCAAUCAUACCAAUCGCGGGGUCUAGUCAAAUGCAGUGCUUCUGCUUUGAAUGCCAGAUGUGCUACAGCACUACAAACCAAAUCUAUCGCAAGUCUUUGAGAACGAGCAUUUUGCAGUUUGGUGAUGGACCAAGAGAGAUGAUAUAUUGUUCUUUUAGAUGAAAGAAAAGUCUCCUUGUAGAGUUUUUUAGAAUAAUUUGUAUUUAAAUAUUUUUUUUUUUUAAAAAUGGAAUAUAUGUAGUUACCA
rnacentral:lncRNA from 1 species